rnacentral:rRNA from 1 species
CGACAAGCGGAGGAGUCGAUGUGGUUUAAUUCGAUGAUACGCGAGGAACCUUACCUGGCUCGAACGUAAGAUGACUGUAGGUGAAAGCUUACAUCGUCUUCGGAGCAUUUUACGAGGUGCUGCAUGGUUGUCGUCAGCUCGUGCCGUGAGGUGUCGGGUUAAGUCCGUAACGAGCGCAACCCUUGUCCUUAGUUACCAGCACGUUAUGGUGGGCACUCUAAGGAGACUGCCGGUGACAAACCGGAGGAAGGUGGGGAUGACGUCAAGUCAUCAUGGCCCUUACGGCCUGGGCUACACACGUGCUACAAUGGUCGGUACAAAGGGUUGCCAAGCCGCGAGGUGGAGCUAAUCCCAUAAAACCGAUCGUAGUCCGGAUCGCAGUCUGCAACUCGACUGCGUGAAGUCGGAAUCGCUAGUAAUCGUGAAUCAGAAUGUCACGGUGAAUACGUUCCCGGGCCUU